rnacentral:sRNA from 1 species
CCCUAGCCCCGAGUGAAGUGUAAAUCCUUUUUAUCCGCCUUUUUGGCGGAUAAAAAGAUUGAAACGGAAAGCGGGACACGAG